rnacentral:rRNA from 1 species
UGCCCCAGUAACGGCGAGUGAAGCGGCAACAGCUCAAAUUUGAAAUCUGGCCCCCCGGCCCGAGUUGUAAUUUGCAGAGGAUGCUUUUGGUGAGGCACCCACCGAGUCCCCUGGAAUGGGGCGCCAUAGAGGGUGAGAGCCCCGUAUGGUAGGACGCCGAACCUCUGUAAAGCUCCUUCGACGAGUCGAGUAGUUUGGGAAUGCUGCUCUAAAUGGGAGGUAAAUUUCUUCUAAAGCUAAAUACCGGCCAGAGACCGAUAGCGCACAAGUAGAGUGAUCGAAAGAUGAAAAGCACUUUGAAAAGAGGGUUAAAAAGUACGUGAAAUUGUUGAAAGGGAAGCGCUUGUGACCAGACUUGCGCCGGGCGGAUCAUCCAGCGUUCUCGCUGGUGCACUCCGCCCGGUUCAGGCCAGCAUCGGUUUUCGCCGGGGGACAAAGGCUUCGGGAACGUGGCUCCUCUCGGGGAGUGUUAUAGCCCGUUGCGUAAUACCCCGGCGGGGACCGACGACCGCGCUUCGGCAAGGAUGCUGGCGUAAUGGUCAUCAGCGACCCGUCUUGAAACACGGACCGAGGAGUCAAGCAUUAGUGCGAGUGUUUGGGUGUAAAACCCGCACGCGUAAUGAAAGUGAACGUAGGUGAGAGCUUCGGCGCAUCAUCGACCGAUCCUGAUGUUUUCGGAAGGAUUUGAGUAGGAGCAUUAACGCUUGGACCCGAAAGAUGGUGAACUAUACUUGAAUAGGGUGAAGCCA